rnacentral:misc_RNA from 1 species
UGGCUUACUCUGUAGGCCGCCAUGAUCGUUGUUGCGGUCGGUGGUGGUCGGUCGGUUGUGCUCGAGGUCAACAAGGUGUUUUCGGUGUUUUCGCAGCAUGGAUCUUUGACAAGAUGGGAUCGCUUCACCUCUACAGCAACGCAUCAUCGUCAGCUUCGCACUUUCUCAUCCUAAUCACAUCUCUGAAGCCAUUUUAGAUAAGUAGACGCGUUCUUUGCUAGCAGUGGGACGCAUUCGCGCGCUACUUUUAACAGCACGUUUAUCAUCUCCGCCCUUGUUCCUUUUCUAGUAUGUAGCUCUCACAGUCGUUGUUCUCUCGGGAAGCGUAAACUCUUGUGUCUUUCGAGCUGAGCAGCAGCACUGCAGAUGUCCUCAUAAAGAAGGAGCCGUUGCUUCUUGAUAGGAGCCCCUUCUUUACCAGCGCAUCUUGCAGUGUCUGUUUUCGUCGGCGUCUCUCCGACUAUGGAUGACGACGGUAGUAACGGUUCCGCCUCUCGGCGGCCCGAUUCUACGGUGGCCACCGGCUCCGAGGAAGCGCCAGCCUCACCCCUGUCCAUGCAAAUGUCCAAUCGGACGAUAGUCGAAGGGUUGGACUUUGGGCAUGGCGACGGUGCGAGCGCUGAGUCGAGAACGUCGACGGCGGUGGCGGCAAAACGCGUCGCCGAUGAAUCUGCCGGCUGUGGCGAGCUAUCUCCGCCGACCAAGCAGGCGCGCUGCGACAGCAGCGGCCGAUUUUCAUCUCCCGAGGACGCGCACGCUUGCAGUAGUGACCAGGCACCGACGUUGUCGUUGGGCGACGAGUUCUUUCAAAACGACCAGAUGGUCGACAGCUUCGGCGAGGACGGUCGCAGCGGAUAUGCACGUGACGCGGCGGCGACCGGCGUGCAGCAGGGAAACGAUCGCCCGGUGUUGAGCUUCGACAUUCUGGACGAAGUGGGCCCGGGUCAAGGCGACGAGGACAUGGACGAUGAAGACAGCGCGAACAACGGAUACAGUGGCAGCGGCGACCCGGGCGCAGAGGAGCCGAGCGACAGCGACAUCUCAGACGACGAGAUCGAAGCCAUGCUCGAGGCUGGCAUGAACUCGCCUAGCAGGCAGGAGGUCGAAGAGGACGAGGACGUCGUGCACGAGGUCAAGGAGAAAGUGAUCCUCAAAGUGCGGGGGCAUGACCACUUUGACGUACUGCCGGAAGGUUGGAUCCAGGUCACACACAACAGCGGGAUGCCCAUCUACCUCCAUAAGCAGUCCAGAGUGUGCACGCUGUCCAAGCCAUAUUUUCUCGGUCCUGGUAGCAUUCGGAAACAUGAAGUGCCCAUCUCUGCCAUUCCCUGCCUGCACUACAAGAAGGAAAAAGAGAAGGAAGAGCAAUGUCCGGUCACAAAUGGGGUGUCAGAUGGAAGCGAAGGUGUGCCAGAGAAAGUGGCUGAACUGGCAGGACAAAUCCCUACUGCAAAGGUGGAGAGUGUAAAAGAGAGCCAGAAGGAACGGUCACUAGAUGCCCUGGCAUUUCGACAGUACUGUGAGGGAGUGUUUGACUUUCAAACCAUUCAGCUGCGAAAGUUCAAGACGUGGGCAGGUCGCCGUAAACACAAGAAGAAGCUGAAGCAGAUGCAGCGCCCCAUGCUUCCGGAGAGUACAAAGCUGAUCAUGUGUUCACUGCCCCCAACUACGGACACAAGCCAGAUCACCAGCGGGCACUCCAAGAGAGAAUUCAUCAUGAACCCAAGCGGAAAGUCGAAUGUGUGCAUUCUUCACGAAUACGUGCAACACGCCAUGAGGACACAGCCACAGUACACAUUCAAGGAACUCGAAAGCUCAAGCAUGCCGUACGGGGCCACCGUAGUCAUUAAUGGCAUCGAGUAUGGCUCUGGCUUUGGAAGCAGUAAAAAGCAAGCCAAGUCGGAAGCAGCCAAAGCAACACUGGAAAUCCUCAUCCCGCAAAUGAAGGACACAAACAUGAAGAGCGAGAAGAGUGAAGACUUCUUCCAGGAUGUUGCCUUCUUUGACGAAAUCAGAGUGGAAGAUCCCCGUGUGAAUGAGCUUUGUGCGAAGACUGGGCAGCUCUCUCCUUACCAGAUUCUUCUGGAAUGCCUCAAACGGAACUACGGCAUGGGUGACACAGAAAUCAAGCAGGAGAUGAAAAACAUGAAGCACCAGCGAAAUGAAUUCAUCAUGUCAGUUGGCAAACACACAGCUAGUGUCAUUUGUAGAAACAAGAAAGACGGGAAGCAAAGGGCAUCACAAGCUAUUCUUCAGGGCUUGCAUCCUCACAUCACCUCAUGGGGCUCACUACUCAGGCUUUAUGGGAAGGGCUCCUGCAAGACGCUCAAGGAGAAGAAGGAGGAAGAACAGCGCAUCACAGAAUUGCAGAGCAAAGCCAGUGCCAACAGGCCCAACCUGUGCAUCCUCAACAAGCUCAAGGAAGAGAUGGUCAAGCUGAAGGAGCGGCGGGAGGCAGUGAAGCCCAUUGGCAAGUUCAUUCCUCAGGAGGUGGACUUCCCGUCAACGUCAGCAGCGGACCUGAAAGUCGUCGAGUUGUGACUCUGCUGCAGCGGUUGUAGUCAAACAUAUUCUGGUCACGCGGAUUUCGCUACCAAGUUCCAGUUCUACCCCCAUCGUGGCUUUCCGCAUCAUCGACCAUACGCACAUGUGUUGAAGUGUUGUGUUCACUUUUACAGUUUUUCUUUUUUUUUUCAACAAAUGUCCCCGUGCGUUUAUAUAUUGCAAGGAAGCAGCUGCCAGCACAGAGCCGUCUAGUUAGGAAACACAGUCGCAAGUUGUUUUAAGGGAAACGAAUGGGUGCUGAAAGCAGUGCUUUGAAGGGAGGCCUGCAGGGCUGCGAAUCUGUUUGUGGUUUCAGUCAAUGGUGUCCAGUGCCAUGUUUCGUAUCCUCUCUUUUCUGUUUAUUACACUUCACUGGACAUCAUUCUGUCCGGUGGCAUGACUCCCUUUUUUGUGAAACUCCUUCCUCAUACUGUGGAAAACUAGUAAUAAUUUGUGCUUUGAAUUUCUAUUAAAGCCCAGUCAUGACUGUUAUUGACAGCUUGGACUACUUCAAUAAGCAGCAGUGCCCUGUUGUUGAAAGGUUAGCCAAAAACAUGUGAAGCCUCACUCAAUGCUACAAACAUGUCGCUGGGCAUGUUUCGUAUCUUAGAAAAUGGCUAUUGUGUGCAAUAUAUGUAAAACAUUCCACAAUGAAAAGGAGAUUCAACAGUACAACACCUGACACAGAAAGAAUCACAAGGACAUAAUACUGCGUCCUUAAAUUUUAUUUA